AUACGGGGGAUCCAAGCGUUAUCCGGAUUUAUUGGGUUUAAAGGGAGCGUAGGUGGACGUAUAAGUCAGUUGUGAAAGUUUGCGGCUCAACCGUAAAAUUGCAGUUGAUACUGUAUGUCUUGAGUGUACAAGAGGUGGGCGGAAUUCGUGGUGUAGCGGUGAAAUGCAUAGAUAUCACGCAGAACUCCGAUUGCGAAGGCAGCUUACUAAGCUACAACUGACACUGAAGCACGAAAGCGUGGGGAUC
rnacentral:rRNA from 1 species